rnacentral:miRNA from 1 species
CGCAAAUGAUGACAAAUAGA